rnacentral:misc_RNA from 1 species
AGAACCCCCACCUCCCAUUAUCCGACCGGAUCAACCUCACCGGCGUCGCGAUCGGUAACGGAAUGACCCACCCCGUCACCCAGGUCACCACCCACGCCGCCACCGCCUACUACGCCGGCCUGAUCAACGACCGGCAGCGAACUCAUCUCGAGUCACUCCAGAGCGAGGCCGUCAGGCUCAUCGAUUCCUGUAAUUGGUCGGCGGCAGCUGACACGAGGAUUGGACUGUUGAAAUGGCUGCAGAAUGUUACUGGGUUGGCUACCAUGUUCGAUAUAACCAAGUUGGAGCCUUAUGAUUUCGGGG